ACAUGCCUCUAACCUACAUGGUUAUACCAGGACAACUGCUUAGACGGGGCCUAACCCUUUGCCCCAUGGCAUCCGCACACAUUCCCCGUCAGUGAGUCACUGACGAAUGGCUGCUUCCAGGUUGCAGUGCCAGGUAUCUGGGAGAGGGAGGCGUGUCUGAUGCUCCCCUGUGCAGUGAGAACCUGUUUGAGGGCAGGGCUCCUGAGGGGAAGGACGCAAAGAGAUUUUCUUCCCAGCCUCGUCCUCUUCUGAACCUCCCAUUCCAGGCCAGCCCAGCAGGGUCACCUUCGCAAAGGCCUGGUGCUCCUGGUCUGUUGUUUACCAGCCGCUUUUCUCUCAGAGGGACAGAAGAAACCUUCCCCGCUCCUGUGUGAAAUCGACUACGGUGGAAACAACCAUGCAUCUAAAGGUGGAAGCGGCUGCCCAAGUUCUGCUGGGCUUUGCCUUUUGUCAGACGUUCGGUGCCCACAUUCCCUGCCGCGAGCCCUCCGAUGCAGAGCUGGAGUCCAUGCUCAGCCGCCAUCUUGCUCCUGGAGUUAGCUUAUUGGCUCCAAUGAAGGACGUUUUACCUGACCAGGACCUGAAGUCAUGCCCUGUGAACGUCAGCCAGACCUCGUCCCGCCUCCAGGACAGGAGCGCCUCCCCGUGGUCAUACAGAGUCAACGAAGACCCGCGCCGGUACCCCCGGAGGGUGCUGGAAGCCUACUGCUUGUGUGAGGGCUGCCUAGUAGACAGGCAGGAGGACAGAUCUGUGCAGAGCGAGCCCUUUUACCAGGAGGUGCCCGUACUGCAGAAAUCCGGCCGGUGUGAGGCAGGCCAGUACGUUUACCAGCCCAGCCGCCUGCAAGUCGCUCAGUUUUGCAUUUGCACUUUCCCUUGAGACAAGCAAAAUGCUUUCACCUGGGGCCAUCACCCUGCAGCCUGCGUCAGUGCCCCUGCCAACACAACACUGCUACUGUCAUUCGGCAGGGGGAGCGGAACGCACGCUGGAGCCUCAGGAACUGGGGCUGGCUCGGGUACUGUCCCUGGAGAAAGACAAGUACCACAGCGAUCCCACGUAACGGCCAGCACGCUCACCACGCCCUCAGCUACUGUCAUUCACCAGUGGCACACUCUACAGAGGACUUUCCAAUAGCCAGUCCCAUUGCUAACCUGGAUUCCUCCUCGGGGGGAUCUAGGCCACAGCCAGGUGGGACUGGCUGUUUUUCAGCUUUGCCGAGUGCUGCUAAGGCAGAGGGGACCUGCAGCCCACGGAGUUCCCCAGGGCAGCUUGCGGCUAACCCCAUUUUUAUGCAGGCUGAGAGAGGUCCAGCCCACAAGGUGACAAGUCCAGGUCAGGAUGCUCCAUCUUGAUCCAGGGGGCAGAUGCUCGACCAAGAUGGGGCUUCAAAUGUGACCUGUCGUCUCUGUGAGCUGCAUCUCCACGUUAAAUGGAAAGAGAACUGCAAUCUGCUUUCCUGGAAGGCCGCAGCCCUCGAGCUCUGGGCAGGCUGCCCACAUGGUCCUUGGCCAGACAAUGGUUGAGUGCCCCUGUUCAUGGUCCCACACAGCUUCAGAGAACACAAAGAGCAACCUGCCCCUCGUUCACUUCUCCUGGGUCCUGCAGAGAGGGGAGUUGCUUUGCUGGGAUGGACGCGACCAGCGGAUUCCACUCGGGAUGAUCCUACGGGACGUGCUUGGUCUGUGGUGCUGCUGUUGUCAGAAAUGUCUUUGCAGCCUGGGGAGCCAGUGCAGAAGUGGAGCCAGUGGGCUGAGGCGCAUUAAACGGUUAGCGACUGCCCGGCACUUGGGAAUGCUUAAUUCAGAAUCAGGUGCAAUCAGCCAAGGUCCCUUUAGAAGCCACGUAAACUCUUGUGUGCUGUUUAAAAGACAACCCCCCAGUGUGGGGCAGCAGUCCAUGCAAACCCGGCAGCAGGGAUGUCGGGAGCUGGUGCGUUUGGCACUAGUGCUUGGGAACACUGCCGCACUGUUGGCUUGUCUUUAGUAAGGGAAGAGAGAGCGUCGCUCCCUGGCCAGAGCUGCAGUCCCGCUGCUCUGUCUUUGGAGGCCUCCAGAAGGCAGGAGGGGGAGGUGGCUUCUUUCCCCAGCAGAUGUCCACUGAACUGGGCUGCGAGGCAACAUUGCCCCAGGGAGACCUUAUUGCUAAUUCUCUCCACUAAUAAAUGUUACUCACCUUGCCACAGUGCCUAGCUAUUGGUGAGCACAACAGCUUCCAACUGAGUUUGUACCAGGCUGUCUGCACCCACCUGCCCAGUGUUUAGCUAAUGCUUCUGCAGCUCACCCCUGCCCAAGGCUGAGGCUGGCAGGGGGCUGCAGUCUGGGUACAGGCUACACCAGUCUUCCUUUGCCAUGUGCCCAGGGCCUGGCAUGGCUAGUGCCACUCACUCCCAGCUCCCUGUCCGGCAGGACAUCCCAGAAUGCACUGUCCCACGUGCUGCUGGCACCGCUCUCUGUGCGUCUCCUGCUGAGGUACUAUGGGAUAGCUGCCCAGACUCUUCCCACAAUGCCCUGGUGCAAACCGAUUCCAGCAUCGGGCUGGGUGGGAACUCAGAAAAACAGCUUGGGACUGAAGUGGCUGCAUGUACACAACUCAGCCAUGUUUGUUGUGCACAAGUCAGAUGAGAACUGGUUAAAAACCACGGUGCUAUUUGUGGGGUGGACAGGGCCUUAACUGCUGGUGACAAGCAGGUUCUCCCUCUCUAACACAAGUUGUCUCAGCAGAGACUCAGUUGGUAACGUGUGGGGAGGGGGGAGCCAUUUAGGGGCAGUGAGGAGCCCUUCCUGGUUCCCCAGCCAAGCCCUUGUGGAGGUUCAUAAACCAUCUGGCCAAAGUUUCCUCAUUUUUCAUGUUCCCCAGGCCCCAGCACUUCCAGGCUCCUGCCCGAGCAGGAGCAGAAGAGGGGAAAUACCAGGAGAAGCCCAGCCUGGUUUUCAGCCUUGGGAGGGGGUUUAGACCACCAUCCAGGUGUAUCCAGUGAUGCGGGGUCCAGCCAUCACUAAGAACAGGCCUUAUCCUAUUGCAGACCCAGGAAAUGUUUGGGCUCUAAUUGCGCAGCAGCUACAAAGCUCUAGACACCCGAAUCCCCCAGUACGAAGCCUGACCUGCUUUUCGUCAGCUUGCUCUUGAGUCAUCAGUCCUUAUUGCCUUAGCCUCGGAUGCAAUUUAGUGCCAUUGUCCUUUUCACCAGGAGGUUGUGGCUGGGGAUAACCUGGAGAUGGGAGACCCUCCAUCACCACAGUGUGAUUCCUCUAGGUUUGGAUGGAAAGGGCCAUUAGGGGGAGGUAAUUGUGUUGUACCAAAAUACUGCAGAGCUUUCAUGUGCCAUGGGAAGGCAUUUUGUGCAUGCUGUUAGAGGCUGAUCAGCGCAGCUGGGGGAGCUGACAGGCCCCUAAAGGCUGCCCUCUACAGAGAGAAGGCUGCUGUCAUGGGCGCAAGGGCGCCUCCUCCUGGUUGCUCCAGGGAUUAGCUCUUUCCAGGUCCGAUGCCCCCUUCUGCCGCUUGUUACAUUCCCUGCUGCCUCUCUCUCACUCUCUGAGACUCUGGGUGCCCUCCCUUCGUGGCUUGGCCCUCCAGCCAAGUCUCUAGGUGUUUUCUCCCUUCCCGAGUACCAAUCUUCGGCAAUCUUCCCAUUCACUGCCCAGACAGUGCCAUGUCCCCAGUGACUGGUAGGGGAACCCAGGCCCACCCUCUACUCCAGGUUCCAGCUCUGGGACCCUCUACUGUGCAGCCAAGGUCUGCAUCAUCUUCCUGAGCCUUUUCCUACACCCUUUGCCCUAGGAUUCCUUCCUUCCUUCCCUCUCUGAUAUCCACAAAGCAGCAACAGGUGCCCUCACUGCAGCUCCCUUCUGCUACCAGCUUCCUGGCUUUAUCCUGCCCCACCUGUUCUUUCUCUGCUGGGCACUGUCAUCACUCAGGGGAUUAACUGGGCCACCUAAUUCCCCUCAGCUGGGGCCUAGCUGGUGAAUUGGCCCCUUCUCAGGUUGGUGUGCGGUUCGCACCCGAGCAUGGUAGCAGAGCAGUCCCUUGACAAAUGCCUGGCUUGGUUCACAGACACGGCCACCUCAUUGUACCAAGAGCUUCAUCUCCAAAUUGAAAAGGCUGAGAUUUUCCCCUCCCCUUUAUGCUGGUCUCUGAGGACUCCAGAAGCACUUUCCAAGGGGACAUGCAUAUUGGUUCAAUCCCAACAGCGCAUCCUGCUUUCUGUCCUGCGUAGCUUGGAUGAGGGGAACCAGUUUGGUAGCUUCUGCACACCUUCCUUCCACCUGUUUCACUGCUGCUCCUCACACCCUGCCUCGGACCCAGCAGCUACGUAGCCAUCGGUUAGUGGGAGACUCCCACCUCGGCGCCGUUUUGUUGUGCCAACCGGCCAAUCAUGGGGUUUGAAUUAUGAGCCCCUAAGCCUCAGGGUGUUUUGUAUGGAUGCCCAGAAGAAACCCACCAGCUUCACCAGGAUGGGAAUCACAGGCUGUGGUGCUGACCCCACCCUAGCUGCAGCCUAGUUCCCUCUGGCAGCGCGAGUUCCCUUUGCCCGCUGAGAAUUGGGGCAUAGAAGUUAGGGAAGUGCAAAUGCACAGGGCUAACAUUGAAGAAUCCAGCCCCAAGGGCCUUUCCCCAGGCCAGAGGCAGCAUUAGAACCCAGAACUUCCUGCUGGCUAGUCCCAGGGCACUAGGCCACAUCUCCCUCCAAGAGGUGACCUCUCCCAGUCUAUGACACGACACCUGAUUGCAAAGGCACGCUGUGCUGUGACUCACUGGGGUGCCGUUGUGAUGCCAUGCUGGGUCACAAGAUGACCUACAACUGAUCCAGUGACCAGGUGAUGCUGCUGAGCAGCGCAAACCACCGGGUGCGUCCCAGUCCAUCGGUUCCCAGUGUGACCGAACAGGACUUAAGGCAACACAGCUGAGAGGCCAGUGCCCUGAAUUACUGUACAUCACAACGGAGCAGGUGUGUGGGUUUUUUAAGCCGAAGCCACUUGCUGAAUCCGACCUGAGCCGGUGACUAGUUUUACUGCCUCCAAAAUGCAUUUUUCAGCAACUUUAUUAUAUGGCGAAGAGAUUGCCUCCACCUGUCUGUCAUCCCUUUGAGUCAGUAAUAAACCGCGGCUCCAGCGCUGUGUUACUGGAGGGCCUCCUGCUCAGCUGAGCCCUAACGCUGAGGCUGGUUAUCAGGGAGAUCAGGGCACUUUAAGAAUAGAUGAGUCAACCCCCCUUCUAGCCAGAUUCCUGGGGGGAUAAUUGCACACCACCGACCGAAAGUGUCCUUGUGU